rnacentral:rRNA from 1 species
AGAGUUUGAUCCUGGCUCAGGACGAACGCUGGCGGCGUGCCUAAUACAUGCAAGUUGAGCGAUGAAGAUUGGUGCUUGCACCAAUUUGAAGAGCAGCGAACGGGUGAGUAACGCGUGGGGAAUCUGCCUUUGAGCGGGGGACAACAUUUGGAAACGAAUGCUAAUACCGCAUAACAACUUUAAACAUAAGUUUUAAGUUUGAAAGAUGCAAUUGCAUCACUCAAAGAUGAUCCCGCGUUGUAUUAGCUAGUUGGUGAGGUAAAGGCUCACCAAGGCGAUGAUACAUAGCCGACCUGAGAGGGUGAUCGGCCACAUUGGGACUGAGACACGGCCCAAACUCCUACGGGAGGCAGCAGUAGGGAAUCUUCGGCAAUGGACGAAAGUCUGACCGAGCAACGCCGCGUGAGUGAAGAAGGUUUUCGGAUCGUAAAACUCUGUUGGUAGAGAAGAACGUUGGUGAGAGUGGAAAGCUCAUCAAGUGACGGUAACUACCCAGAAAGGGACGGCUAACUACGUGCCAGCAGCCGCGGUAAUACGUAGGUCCCGAGCGUUGUCCGGAUUUAUUGGGCGUAAAGCGAGCGCAGGUGGUUUAUUAAGUCUGGUGUAAAAGGCAGUGGCUCAACCAUCGUAUGCAUUGGAAACUGGUAGACUUGAGUGCAGGAGAGGAGAGUGGAAUUCCAUGUGUAGCGGUGAAAUGCGUAGAUAUAUGGAGGAACACCGGUGGCGAAAGCGGCUCUCUGGCCUGUAACUGACACUGAGGCUCGAAAGCGUGGGGAGCAAACAGGAUUAGAUACCCUGGUAGUCC